rfam:Tetragenococcus muriaticus 3MR10-3 WGS_Sequence057_045, whole genome shotgun sequence.
CCGAAAGGCUAGGACAAUGAGAACGUUGUGAAGGGUGUCAGGUCUGGAAGGAAGCAGCACUAAGCAGCGGUUCUCAUGUGUCUGAUUAUAUUAUUAUCA